AGACAGUGCGAUACAGCCUUGAUCGUAUAUCGUACCUCUUGCACGAAUGCCCUCAAAUACCGAUUCACACGGCAGGCAGAACUCAGUCCGCCGAACAAGUGUGACGCAGCCCCGGCGGUAAAAUAAUUCGCGCACUUGCACGAGCGAGCCACAGUGUAUGGGACUUGCGAAUAACAACCACAUGACCACAACAGGUGGCGGUGACGACGAAUGAAUAAUGACGACAACGAAUGAGUCUACGGCACGAUGACGGCGACCGCAUGACGAAGCCAUCUGCAACAAUUGACGACGUCCGUGAUCGAUGCCCGAUCGACUCAAGAUGCUCUCGCAGUGACAAUAUCAUCCACUCAUGGAUAGGCUGACCUCGGGAGCGGGUAAUGGAAACAGCAUGCGCCUGGAGACUGGGUUCCCAGGAGGAGACCCAGCAAAGGAGACGACGCCGAGGGAAGCCACGGUGCCGACGCCUGCCGGGAUUCAAGCGAACGAGAUGGAUGGAAGCGUAGCGGCACGCGGCGACGGGGACCGCGCAUGGCGGCUUCGGGUCGCCGCCCUUGUGCGGUCCUCUCUCCCCACCAUCCCACCGAGAGCGGGAACGCGCGCCAAUGGCCCGUGAACACGCUGGCGGCGAACGCGACACAACAAUCACCGGCCGCGCACGUCGACUCCCAUGACGCGUCAAUGGGCCGGAGGCGCGGCGUUAUUACGAAAAGUUCACACAGGCAUCGCCGCGCGCUCGCUCAGAACGGGCUUUCUUUCCUGCCGUUGCGCGCGGCCGCGUAAAGGUGAGUGGCUAUUACAAAAAGUGCGCGCACCGUAUUUUGCCCGCGCCUGCAGUGCAGCGACGACGGCACUCUUGCGUAAGCGCGCAACAGAAGCCGCCUCGACGGAGCGUGUAUAGCGGUGGUCGCGAAGCGGAAAAUUCGUCCAUUUCGGCGCCCCGCGCGAGAAUUAUUACCGAACGCGCGUGACCAGCGGGAAGCUCACGUUUCCUUAAAUACGUCGACCGGCGAGUGUCACGGAACGCGGCUCCGCACUUGGCGUGCAGAAAAAAGAAAGAAAAGCAUUAUUUUCCUCCCGCAGUGCGGGCGCUCGAGGAGUGCAAGCGAAACCAGCAUAGCUUUUUGCCAUGGUUGAAAGAAACGUCGCAAGCAACUGUACGUUGCCGAAGAACGGAGGCCGUGGGCUCGAUAACGUAAAGCUAUUCCAAGCUUUUUUUAUUCCAAUUCUGCAAUCAGCCCUCAGCGAUUGGUCAAAAAUGUUUGGGGGCCACUCCCACUUCGGCCGUCUGUCACGCGACAUCACGAAAACCGCGAUAGCUUCCCCACCUGAUAUGUCGUGUACACACUGUGCAUGAUUGGACCGAACAAAAGAAGAAUUAGUUAUUUCUAAUUCGACGCCUUUUCGCCAUUAGACCUCUGCUAUUGGUCAAAAGUAUGCGGGCUGCGCCCACUUUGCCUGCCUGUCACGCAACUUCACGAAACCACGAAAGAUCACCGCGUCAAAGAGAUGCGUACGCGUUAAAGACGCAUUAAUAUGCCGAACGAAACUGUCUUUUUUUUUUUUUUUUUCUGAAUAGCCAUAGAAUGCCCCUUUUCGAAAGGAUGGCUGCCGCCGUUCACUCAGGGCCUGGCUACUCGCACCUGCCGGAGUGCUUGGGUUUAUUUGCGUAUAAUAAAGCUUUUUGCGUGACCGUGUGACGCUAAA